rnacentral:lncRNA from 1 species
GAUAUAACUUCUUAUACACUUGAGAUAUUGUAUUUUUGUAAAUUUCUAAGAAAUAUAGACGUUAAUAGCUUUCUAAAAAGGUAAAGCUCGUAUUUUUCCUUGAAGCGAUUGAUUUUAUAUGAUUUUCCAAAGUUAGGAUUCAAAUGUGUAUGUGUCUUGAUUAAACUUGUGAUUGGUAGUUAAUUGAGAUCCUACACUACUAAACUUGAAUUGAGGUUUUAUUGUUCUAACUACCUAUUGAGGAUUAUUGAUUACUAAAGCUUGUUAAUAUGAUAGUUGAUGGACAUAAUUAUGUUUAUAUGAUUAAUUACUUUGGGAUUUUGUGUUUUACAUGUAUGGUUAGUUGUAAACUGAUCUCUAUGGAAUGGAUUUGUUUACUUCUAAACUUUCUCAAGUAGAGGAAUUCCUAUAAGAUAGGAAUAUUAGUUUAUACUUUCUUAAAGUUCAUAAGAGUUAGUAUAUUGGUUAGUUUAGUUGAUUCAACCCUAGCUCUGCAGAAGAUUAAAAGUUUAUUGGGAUGUUAUUUAUAGCUAAUUCUUCUUAUCUAGUUAUCCAAUCUUAUUUUAGAAUCUUGCUAUUAUGAAGGUGACAGUAGCAAUGAUAGAUAAGUGAGCAAGAGUUUCUACAUCGUUAAGCGUAUCAGGUGGGCUUUCUAAACUCAUAAUUUGAAGUGCGCACUAUUUAAUUAUGUUAUUAUAUGAAUGAAGUUAUAUUAAAGUUAUUGACUUGCCAAAACUUUUAUGAGCUUGUAUGUUACCAUCUACGAGAGAUAGACGAUAUCGGCCCUAUGCUGAAGCGAGAUGUCAGUAAGGGUUUGUGCACAUAGUUGUGACCGUGAGUCAUCGAGCGGGUUGGCCGGUCACUGUGAUCGGGAGCCUUCGGGCCGAUCACUGUGUUUGAGAAGGAGGCCUACUUCUCAACACAAGGUUACAUGAUGCGUAGUUAUGGUACAUACAUGUUAAUUGUCUGCAGACGUAUAUGAUAUUAUGAUGAUAUAUAUAUAGAAGUUUUACAGUUUUGGCGUGCACAGGUUAUUUAAAUAAAACUCCUGUGUGAUGCUUGAGAUGGCAAGUUCAAUAUAUAGCUCUAAGAGCAAACUUUAAAGUUAUUUCGGCAUGUGACCAUUGAGUACCUUUUUAGUACUCAGCCCUGCAUAUGUUUCUAAAUGUGCAGGUUAAGCUGUGAUGCAGAUGGAGGCGAGCAGAGCAAAGCUUUUGAAGUAUAAGUAUUAAAUUAGGCUCAGGAUUUCAUGUCUUCAUACAUGUAAUCCACUUAAGUUAUUCCGCUGCAACACUUAGUGUAUUUUACUUUAUUGAUGUGUUGUACAGAUUUUAAACCAAUAGCUUCGAAAAUUAUGUCACUUGAAAAUUUGACAACUUGUCGUUAUGUAUUGUGAGUUGUCUGCUUUGAGUUUUAGAAAAGAUUGUUUAUGAUUACCAAAUAUUUAGGUAAAUUAUUGUUUAAGCAAGAUGAUUAUUUUUAUUGAAACCUCUUUUAUUUUCCAUUUUCUUUUUCCAUUUCCCCAGUCACAUUUUCCCCGGCUUAACUGUUGUUAGCUUAGGUCGGGCUGUGACAGAGUGGUAUCAGAGCAGGUCAUUUGCUCUGAGCCUAAAUAUCCUUUUGAGUCUAGUCUAAAUUUGAAUCUUUGGACUAGUAUGAGUAAUAUAGUAAAAGCUCUGCUCUCCAUCUCAUCCAGCUUAGCCAGGUACGGAUUUUUCAGAGUUUUAAAGUAGCAUGUUACAUUUUUAAACAAGUUUGAGAUAUGAGUUGCAGUUUUGCAAGUAUUAGUAUGAUGGAAACUUAUAUAUUUUAAAAUGAGCAUGGACAACAUGAGUUAUUUUUGAGUAUCCUCUGCCUAUACGAACUUUUGGAUUUGAAUGGAUAAAAGUGUUAUUCAUAUAUUAAUAUUUAUAUUUUGAUAUGUGGAUGGAGAUAUAGACAGUUUGAUGAUACAAUAAUGAUGUAUAUCAGUCGCGAUGUAACCUAGUACUAGUAGUGAUGUUAUACAGUUAGGGCACCACAAUUAGUACUAAGAGCUUUUUGCAACAUAUAUUCCUAUCUUUCGUAUGAGAACUCAUUGAGGCAAAUUUUCCCAUGAUAUGAAACGACCGAAGUAGUCAUUUACUAGGUUGUUGAGCUUUAAUUGCUUAGAUGAUUGAAAUUUUGUGUAUGAGUUUUAUACUUUAGUUGGUUUAUAGUUAUGUAGCAGUUUGACUUUACGGAUGGAAUAAAAGCUCAAUUAUGGGGAUUUUGUGUAUUUACUCGGCAUGAUAUCUCAAAGAAGAAAUGGAAAUUUGCCAUCCGCCAUGUGAAUAAUUUAGAGGAAAGUUUUUCAUCAUCAAGAUCCCCCUAUUCAUAGUAGAGUUUCACGAGUUUCGCUUCCUUAGAUGCAAUGAUCAAGAGCGCCUUCUUGUAUGUUAUUUCAACUACAAGGAUCGACUGAUUCUUAGUGGGAGACGAAGCAGAAGAUACAUACCCUCGAGCGAUUAGAGAAUCUUAUUUGGGGCCACGUCACAGAAGUUUCUAUGAAGAACAUGUUCCCAGAAGCUACCAUAAGCAAAUGAAGAUGAUCGUGGUUGAAUAUGAUUGAGAGUUUUGAGACAUAUCUCGAUAUACGCCUUAUAAGGUUGAAACAUAGAGUAGUUGUAACUUUUGAUAGAGUUUUGAUGUAGUGCCUUUACUUGUUGGCAAACCAAAUAUUCUUUCAGCUAUUGCAAGCCAAACAUUCCUUCAACUAAUGAAGAUAUCUCUUUUCCAUUUCAUCCCUCCCACCAAAAGUUUUGUUUGAAAUCUUGAUAUAAUUUAGUGCUUCUGUGGUGGGCAGUAUAUAGCGUAUCAUGAGCUUUACUCGUGAUUUUAUUUCUCAACUGUUCAGUAUUGGGUACACAACUUUUCUCAAACAUGAUAGCAGUACCCCUAGCUUUUUGGCAAGUAUUGACCCCUUCUAUCAAAAUCCUUACCCAUAAUUUUUCUCCUUUUUAUUUUCCCCAUGUACUUUAACAAUUCUUCUUCUCAAAUCAAAAAUCAUUGUUAACAUUGCAAUUACAGCUUCUCUUGUUUGCUGUGGUAGAACCAUUUGUAAAUCCAACUUUCAAAUCCUUGAUGAGAAUUUUUCUUCAUGGGUAAGGAGAAAUCCUUAGUAAACUUGAGUUUUUCUACUCAAGGCAUCCACUACUAUAUUGGCUUUGCGUGGGUGAUAAUUUAUUCUACAAUCAUAGUCCCUUACUAAUUCGAGCUAUAUUCCUUGUCUCACACUUAGAUCUUUUGCUCGAAUAAGUAUUUUAAACUUUUAUGAGGUGUAUCAAUUCCACAUCUCGUUUCAGAAUACCAUUGUUGCUAGUUCCAAGUUAUGUUGAGCAAUUCAGUUCUUGUGGUCUAUGUUCUCAUGACCCAAUAACAAUAACUCUUUCACUUUGCAACAAUGCACAACCAAGUCCAUCUUUGAUACACAGGACCAAUUUUAUAUGGUCUUUCAACUUUGAGAAUUCGGCCAUAUUUUAAAAUAGCCUUUCAUCCAACAACAGAUGAGCAAUUUGAGAGAAAUCUUUAAACCUUAGAAGAUGUGACAUAGACUAUUGUACUAGAGCGAAGAAGUGGCGACCUUAGCAGUAGGGACACUGGCGAUCGUAAGAAAUUCUGGGUUCCAAAACUCUCUUUCCAAAAAUGAUUUUUCAGAAGGAGCGAAUUCCCCGCAAACAAGGCAGGAGACGACUAUCUCAAGGUGCAUCACGCGUACUCAGAAGCCGCAUUAUGCACUAGCUUGAAGGAUGAAUUGGGAAAACCUUUUGCUAGUAAUUGAAUUGGCCUACAAUUAUAGCUUUCGGGCAAUAAUUGAUAUGACACCAUAUGGAGCUUAUUGUGGAAAGAAAUAUUGAUCUCCACUCUAUUGACAUGAGGUAAGUGAAAGAAAAGUAACAGGACCUGAUGCGCUUGAAGAAAUGAUUACGCUUAUCCGACAAAUUCAACAACUGCUCAACGAACCUCAAGAGCGACAGAAAUUUUUUUUUUUUUUUUUUUUAGAUACUCGUUGAUUUGAUUUGAAAUUUUUGAAAUAGGGGAUGAAGUUUUUCUCAGUGUUCCGCAUUCUAAGAAUGCACAAAUUCGAUGUGAAAGAGAAGUAUCUAGCAUUAUUCUCUGACGUAGUCAAAUUUCGAGGACGAAAUUUCUUUAAGGGGGAGAGGAUGUAACACCCAGCAUUUUCACUACAGUAUAUAUAUUAUUUUCUAUUAUCUAAAAGAAGAAAGAGAAGUAGAAUCACUGAGAUGAGAUGAGAUAUUAUUAUAAUACCUUGAGCUUUUAAUUCAAUGAUUGCAUAAUUUGAAUAAUUAAGUAUUCUUGCUUUCUUUAUUAUUUUCAUUCUUGGAAGCAAGUUUAUAAUUCCUAGUUAAAGGGAUUAUUUUAUUAUUUUUCAGAGAUGAGAUUGGUGAUAAAUACGAAAUAUUAUUAGUCGACUUAUUGCUCGGCUAAUUGAAGUGACGGAUGUUAUUUAAUUAUUUAUCUAUGAGUUUUUUUUUUUAAUAGUGAUAGUUUGAGGAAAUUUAGUAUAUGUAUAUAGAAUUGUAUUAUAUUUCAUUGGGUGUAUAAUAAUUUAUUAAUUUAGAUAGCUAUCAAAUACUACUUGAGCUUGGAGCACAAGUUUCGUGAGUCAUAUUAGUGUAGAGAAUUGCUUUUCUAAUUUAUUCUUAUUUUAUUUGAUCUAAUUUUGAGGGCACAAAAUACUUAAGGAAAAGCCAAGUUUCCUCAUAUUAUGUAGAGAAUUGCUUUUCUAAUUUAUUCUUAUUUUUAUUUGAUCUAAUUUUGAGGGCCACAAAAUAAGGCUUAUAGGAAAAGCCAAGUUUUCCUCUUAUUAUUUAUUUCUUCUACAAACCUCAAAUGGGCCGAUCAGUAAGGGAAAUGAGGUUUGAAUUAUAUUGCUCAUUUCUAUAAUUGGAUUUAAAUUUUUAAUGUUUGAGAUAAGCAUUUAUUUAUUGUAAAGUGUAUAUAUUAGUUUGAGGAGAUUCAUUUCCUUUUCUUCUCCCCAAAACAGUCGACCUUCUCCCCUCUCUCUUUAUGGAACCUCAGUUUGAGUUUACUUUCAACCUUCAAGAAGAUUCAGCCGCCGCCUCUGCUCCGACCGUCGUCGGCUGCCGUCGGGUCCAAGUCCGGCGUCUCGUCUGUUCUUCCCUGGUGCCCCUCGCACUACUCUCAUCUUCUCUCAAUUUAGCGAAGAACCCAAAUGAGAAGCCCUAAUUUCAAAAUCCGAAAUCGCCGUCACCCGAGCCCGAAAUUCGGCAAUACAGCAGCCUCCUCUUCAACGUGGUCGAAGUUCUCGCACCGGAAGUCCUCGCCGUUCCCCCUCUUUUUCGAUGUGGAGCCCUAAUUAUUAGAAGAAGGAAAUUACUACUGUCGCGACUGGAAGGCCAACGAACGGCUGAGCUUCGCCCAUCUCUGCCUUGAAUCCAUGCUCGAGAAUGAGAGAAAGGGAAACGAGCUCUAAUUCUUUUCUACUCCCGCCGUCAUGGUUCGGCUGCCACCUCCGCCGUCUGUGGAAGACCGGCGAUUCAGCGGCGCCGCUCCAUUCACGACGCCGCUACUGCUGCUACACGAUCCCCUCCGAGGCAGGAAGCGCUGCUGUCAUCAUCGUCGUCUUGGCUCGACUGAACAGGGUAGCGUCCCUCGUCGUCGAAAAGUUAAGUAUUCUACUUGUUAUUGUAGAAAGUGUUUGAUGUUGCUUGUGAUUUCUGAGUUCAUGCCAUAAUAAUCGAGGCAUAGGUGACUUCUCUCUAAGAUUCCUAAAGUGAGAUAUUAAACAAAAUGUUAUAUGUUUCUAAGUUAGUAAUUACUUUAAAUUAAGUAAAAUGAUGGCAGGAAUCAUAGCUUCAGCCCAAAGCUUCGAUUUUUGACCCUCCCUCAAGAACCCCAGAAUUUCAUCUUCUUUAUAUUUGUAUCAAUUGACUAUGUAUACAUGUCUAUAUGUAUGUGAAGAAUUGAUUGGGAUUUUAUUUGGGUAUUUAUUCACAAGAAAACAUGAUUCCCUAAUAGUUUAGUUUAAGUGGAUUUGGGAGUUCUUGGAAUAAGCUAGCUACAUGUUUGAUGCUUGUGUAAUUGUACUCCUUGAAUUGUAAAAUGAGAUUAUAUGACAAUAGUUGGAGGAUAUCAAGCAUGCUACUAUAUGUUGAUGUGUUGAACAUGAAUUACGUUUAAGCUAAAGCAUGCUAAUGUGUAGUAAGAUGAUGUAUUUGAGUUACUAUAGCUUUUAUUUGAUAAAAAUAUGAGUUAUAUGUUGAGUUGAGAUGAAGAAGGUAUUGCUGUUGGUUUUGCUGUACAGGACAGUACCUUGUAAGGUAUUUUCGGGAGUGUUCCUGUGUUCGAAAUGAUUUGAAAUUUUUACAGUAAUUACUUCAUUAUGAGUAUUAGAUCUCUGCAAAAUUUCAGCUAAAUCCGAGACCAAUAGACAUGUCAAACUAUUUUCUGAAAUGUACUGCACGGAGCAGCAGAGUUCAGUGCAGAUUCUGUCUUUGGUCAUAUAACUUCUUAUCCACUUGAGAUUUUGUGUUUUUGUAAAUUUCUGAGAAAUAUAGACAUCAAUAGCUUUCUAAAAAGGUAAAACUCGUAUUUUUCCUUGAAGCGAUUGAUUUUAUAUGAUUUUCCAAAGUUAGGAUUCAAAUGUGUAUGUGUCUUGAUUAAACUUGUGAUUGGUAGUUAAUUGAGAUCCUACACUACUAAACUUGAAUUAAGGUUUUAUUGUUCUAAUUACCUAUUGAGAAUUAUUGAUUACUAAGCUUGUUAAUAUGAUAGUUGAUGGACAUAAUUAUGCUUAUAUGAUUAAUUACUUUGGGAUUUUGUGUUUUACAUGUAUGGUUAGUUGUAAACUGAUCUCUAUGGAAUGGAUUUGUUUACUUCUAAACUUUCUUAAGUAGAGGAAUUCCUAUAAGAUAGGAAUAUUAGUUUAUACUUUCUUAAAGUUCAUAGAGUUAGUAUAUUGGUUAGUUUAGUUGAUGCAACCCUAGUAGUUUAUUGGGAUGUUAUUUAUAGCUAAUUCUUCUUAUCUAGUUAUCCAAUCUUAUUUUAGAAUCUUGCUAUUAUGAAGGUGACAGUAGCAAUGAUAGAUAAGUGAGCAAGAGUUUCUACAUCGUUAAGCGUAUCAGGUGGGCUUUCUAAACUCAGAAUUUGAAGUGCGCACUAUUUAAUGAUGUUAUUAUAUGAAUGAAGUUAUAUUAAAGUUAUUGACUUGCCAAAUUAUUUUAUGAGCUUGUAUGUUACCAUCUACGAGAGAUAGACGAUAUCGGCCCUAUGCUGAAGCGAGAUGUCAGUAAGGGUUUGUGCACAUAGUUGUGACCGUGAGUCAUCGAGCGGGUUGGCCGGUCACUGUGAUCGGGAGCCUUCGGGCCGAUCACUGUGUUUGAGAAGGAGGCCUACUUCUCAACACAAGGUUACAUGAUGCGUAGUUAUGGUACAUACAUGUUAAUUGUCUGCAGACGUAUAUGAUGUUAUGAUGAUAUAUAUAUAUAUAGAAGUUCUACAGUUUUGGCGUGCACAGGUUUUUUUUAAAUAAAACACAUGUGUGAU